rnacentral:rRNA from 1 species
CCUACGGGAGGCUGCAGUGGGGGAUAUUGCACAAUGGGGGGAACCCUGAUGCAGCGACGCCGCGUGAACGAGGAAGGUCUUCGGAUCGUAAAGUUCUGUUGAAGGGGAAAAAGAGCGGAGAGAGGAAAUGAUCUCUGAUUGAUAUUACCCUUCGAGGAAGUCACGGCUAACUACGUGCCAGCAGCCGCGGUAAUACGUAGGUGGCGGGCGUUAUCCGGAAUGAUUGGGCGUAAAGGGUGCGUAGGCGGCCUGCUAAGGCUGGAGGGAAAGGUACCGGCUCAACCGGUACAGGCUCUGGGAACUGGCGGGCUAGGGGGGAGCAGAGGGCAGUGGAACUCCAUGUGUAGCGGGAAAAUGCGUGGAUAUAUGG